GCUAAGGUGUCUGAAAUAGGUGGUAAACUGUAAAUUUAUUAAUGAAAAUGAUUGUUUUCCCUUAGUA
rnacentral:tRNA from 1 species